GCCGGGCAUGGUGGCAUGAGCCUGUAGUCCCAACUACUUGGGAGGCUGAGGCAGGAGAAUCGCUUGAACCCGGGAGUGGCAGAGGUUGCUGUGAGCUGAAAUCACGCCACUACACUGCAGCCUGAAUGACAGGGCGAGAGUCUGUCUCAAAAGAAAGGGAGGGAAGGAAGGAGGAAAGGAGGGAAGGAAGGAAGGAAGGCAGGGAGGAAGGGAGGGAGGGAGGGAGGGAAGCCAGGGAGGGAGGCAGGGAGGCCAGCUGGCCUACCCCUACCCAUGAUCGGGUGUCCGCACUAAGUUUGGCAUGAAUAUGGUGACCUCCCGGGAGCGGGGACCACCAGGUUGCCUAAGGAGGGGUGAACCGGCCCAGCUCGGAAACCGAGCAGGUCAAAACUCCGGUGCUGAUCAGUAGUGGGAUCGCGCCUGUGAAUAGCCACUGCGCUCCAGUCUGGGCAACACAGCAAGACCCCAACUCUU
rnacentral:SRP_RNA from 13 species